rnacentral:rRNA from 1 species
UGGGGAAUAUUGGACAAUGGGCGCAAGCCUGAUCCAGCCAUGCCGCGUGAGUGAUGAAGGCCUUAGGGUUGUAAAGCUCUUUCAGUGGGGACGAUAAUGACGGUACCCACAGAAGAAGCCCCGGCUAACUUCGUGCCAGCAGCCGCGGUAAUACGAAGGGGGCUAGCGUUGUUCGGAUUUACUGGGCGUAAAGCGCACGUAGGCGGAUCGUUAAGUCGGGGGUGAAAUCCUGGAGCUCAACUCCAGAACUGCCUUCGAUACUGGCGAUCUUGAGUCCGGAAGAGGUGAGUGGAACUCCUAGUGUAGAGGUGGAAUUCGUAGAUAUUAGGAAGAACACCAGUGGCGAAGGCGGCUCACUGGUCCGGUACUGACGCUGAGGUGCGAAAGCGUGGGGAGCAAACAGG